CCUACGGGGGGCAGCAGUGGGGAAUAUUGGACAAUGGGCGAAAGCCUGAUCCAGCCAUGCCGCGUGUGUGAAGAAGGCCUUCGGGUUGUAAAGCACUUUCAGUGGGGAAGAAAGCCUUGGGGCUAAUACCCUCGAGGAAGGACAUCACCCACAGAAGAAGCACCGGCUAACUCCGUGCCAGCAGCCGCGGUAAUACGGAGGGUGCGAGCGUUAAUCGGAAUUACUGGGCGUAAAGCGCGCGUAGGCGGUCUGAUAAGCCGGUUGUGAAAGCCCCGGGCUCAACCUGGGAACGGCAUCCGGAACCGUCAGGCUAGAGUGCAGGAGAGGAAGGUAGAAUUCCCGGUGUAGCGGUGAAAUGCGUAGAGAUCGGGAGGAAUACCAGUGGCGAAGGCGGCCUUCUGGACUGACACUGACGCUGAGGUGCGAAAGCGUGGGUAGCAAACAGGAUUAGAUACCCGAGUAGUC
rnacentral:rRNA from 1 species